UACAUGGGGUGCAAACGUUGCUCGGAAUUAUUGGGCGUAAAGCGCGCGUAGGCGGUUACUCAAGUCGGAUGUGAAAGCCCUCGGCUUAACUGAGGAAGUGCACCCGAAACUGAGUAGCUAGAGUACUAAAGAGGGUCGCGGAAUUCCCGGUGUAGAGGUGAAAUUCGUAGAUAUCGGGAGGAACACCGGUGGCGAAGGCGGCGACCUGGGUAGAUACUGACGCUGAGGCGCGAAAGCGUGGGGGAGCAAACAGG
rnacentral:rRNA from 1 species